rnacentral:rRNA from 1 species
UGAGGAAUAUUGGACAAUGGGCGAAAGCCUGAUCCAGCAACGCCGCGUGAGUGAUGAAGGCCUUCGGGUUGUAAAGCUCUGUCGGGGGGAACGAGCAAGGACGGUACCCCUAAAGGAAGCACCGGCUAACUCCGUGCCAGCAGCCGCGGUAAUACGGAGGGUGCGAGCGUUGUCCGGAAUUACUGGGCGUAAAGCACGUGCAGGCGGUCUGUUAUGUCGGGUGUGAAAUCCCAAGGCUCAACCUUGGAACUGCGCUCGAAACUGGCAGACUUGAGUACGAGAGGGGAUGGUGGAAUUCCCGGUGUAGAGGUGAAAUUCGUAGAUAUCGGGAAGAAUACCGGUGGCGAAGGCGACCAUCUGGCUCGUUACUGACGCUCAGACGUGAAAGCGUGGGGAGCAAACAGA